AUUGAACGCUGGCGGCAGGCCUAACACAUGCAAGUCGAGCGAGCGGCGGACGGGUGAGUAAUGUGUGGGAAACUGCCUGAUGGAGGGGGAUAACUACUGGAAACGGUAGCUAAUACCGCAUACCAUCAGAUGUGCCACUAUGGGGUUAGCUAGUCGGUGGGGUAACGGCUCACCUAGGCGACGAUCCCUAGCUGGUCUGAGAGGAUGACCAGACACACUGGAACUGAGACACGGUCCAGACUCCUACGGGAGGCAGCAGUGGGGAAUAUUGCACAAUGGGCGAAAGCCUGAUGCAGCCAUGCCGCGUGUGUGAAGAAGGCCUUCGGGUGGUAAAGCACUUUCAGUUGGGAGGCGUUACCAACAGAAUAAGCACCGGCUAACUUCGUGCCAGCAGCCGCGGUAAUUC
rnacentral:rRNA from 1 species